UGGGGAAUAUUGGGCAAUGGGCGCAAGCCUGACCCAGCAACGCCGCGUGAGGGAAGAAGGUCUUCGGAUUGUAAACCUCUGUCCCCCGGGACGAAAAAAAUGACGGUACCGGGGGAGGAAGCUCCGGCUAACUACGUGCCAGCAGCCGCGGUAAUACGUAGGGAGCGAGCGUUGUCCGGAAUUACUGGGCGUAAAGGGUGCGUAGGCGGCAUGGCAAGUCAGAUGUGAAAUCCCCGGGCUUAACUCGGGGGGUGCAUUUGAAACUGCUGUGCUUGAGUGCAGGAGAGGAAAGCGGAAUUCCUAGUGUAGCGGUGAAAUGCGUAGAUAUUAGGAGGAACACCAGUGGCGAAGGCGGCUUUCUGGACUGCAACUGACGCUGAGGCACGAAAGCGUGGGGAGCAAACAG
rnacentral:rRNA from 1 species